rnacentral:rRNA from 1 species
AGUGAACGCUGGCGGUAGGCCUAACACAUGCAAGUCGAACGGCAGCACAGUAAGAGCUUGCUCUUAAGGGUGGCGAGUGGCGGACGGGUGAGGAAUACAUCGGAAUCUACUUUUUCGUGGGGGAUAACGUAGGGAAACUUACGCUAAUACCGCAUACGACCUACGGGUGAAAGCAGGGGUUCUUCGGACCUUGCGCGAUUGAAUGAGCCGAUGUCGGAUUAGCUAGUUGGCGGGGUAAAGGCCCACCAAGGCGACGAUCCGUAGCUGGUCUGGGAGGAUGAUCAGCCACACUGGAACUGAGACACGGUCCAGACUCCUACGGGAGGCAGCAGUGGGGAAUAUUGGACAAUGGGCGCAAGCCUGAUCCAGCCAUACCGCGUGGGUGAAGAAGGCCUUCGGGUUGUAAAGCCCUUUUGUUGGGAAAGAAAAGCAGCAGGUUAAUACCCCGCUGUUCUGACGGUACCCAAAGAAUAAGCACCGGCUAACUUCGUG